UACGAAGGGUGCAAGCGUUGCUCGGAAUCACUGGGCGUAAAGCGCACGUAGGCGGCUUGUUAAGUCAGGGGUGAAAUCCUGGAGCUCAACUCCAGAACUGCCUUUGAUACUGGCGAGCUUGAGUUCGGGAGAGGUGAGUGGAACUGCGAGUGUAGAGGUGAAAUUCGUAGAUAUUCGCAAGAACACCAGUGGCGAAGGCAGCUCGCUGGGACGGUACUGACGCUGAGACGCGAAAGCGUGGGGAGCAAACAGG
rnacentral:rRNA from 1 species